UUAAGACAAGAGUAAGACAAACCGAGCGGGCAACCCAGCGGAGAAUGCAGUCAUUUGGCGUCGCAAGUUGGACUGUGUUCAGUGGAAUAGGUGGACUGAGAGGAGAUCCAGAUCGUCGAUGUUGGUCGAGCGGCGAUCUUACCAAGAGGCAAGACCAAACAAGGACUGUCCAGAAAACUGAGUGGAAAGCUCCAAAUAAUUAAACGUCAACCAAAACUGAAUUGAACUGUCUGUGUGUGAGUUAUGUGUUUCCUUUCCUGUAUGCUGUGUAUUUUGACUUUUGAGUUUGAAAAUUUCCCGUGUUGUGCUGUGUAUGAAUCAUCAGAAGUAAAUCGUUUAUCCAGUGUCACCUGGCAAGAAUAUGUUUCCUACCAGCUGUGAAGUCCUGGCGUUUUCUACGUUGGUUUAUCCCUUCUACAGUUUUAUUUGACUUUCGUGUGAACUGAUAAUUAUGUUAUAUGUAUUGUUAUUUUCAAGACAUUUUAUAUCUUUAAUUAAUUAAAUUAGAGAACUUAUAUUUGUUGCGCGCGUGAACGGUAUAUAUCAUAGUAGCUUCGAUGGAAGCACAAAAAAAAAAUAGAGAUGUUAAAGACAGUUAUGUUGGCAGAGAUAGCGUAAGUCCGGCAGUAUAAACGGCAGACCAACGAUAGAGUAGCUGUAGCCUUGUAGUAAUUAUGAUGUAAGUGAGCACAAGUGAUGCCGGAAAUAGUCCUGUAGAGUAGGGACAAAUCGAAGUUGCUAGUUAAGUGGUAUGGUGUUACCUGGCGAUUUAUUUUUUGUAUAUUAGGCUUGCCGUUUAUGUAUAUAUUCAGUUUUCGGGACGAAAACAAUAAGUGAAGGGAUAUUGUGGCGUUCACAGGUGUAUACUGUAUUGAUGUAAAACCUAUAUUAUAGUAAUAGGAUUAAGCGGUAGAGACUUUGCUGUUUCCUGAUUAUCUAGCUGUUGAUAGGUAAAUGACGUAGUUCCUUCUUUGGGAGAAUCUCCCCGGAGUGUUGUAUGAUAUAUAAGAUUGUG